rnacentral:antisense_RNA from 2 species
AAAGGCACGACAUUGCUCACAUUGCUUCCAGUAUUAUUUUUCAAGCCAGCUCGGGUGCUGGCUUUUUUUU